rnacentral:rRNA from 1 species
AUUGAACGCUGGCGGCAUGCCUUACACAUGCAAGUCGAACGGCAGCACGGGAGCAAUCCUGGUGGCGAGUGGCGAACGGGUGAGUAAAGUAUCGGAACGUGCCCAGCCGUGGGGGAUAACGUAGAGAAAGUUACGCUAAUACCGCAUACGAUCCAUGGAUGAAAGCGGGGUAUCGCAAGACCUCGCGCGAUUUGAGCGGCCGAUAUCAGAUUAGGUAGUUGGUGGGGUAAAGGCUCACCAAGCCGACGAUCUGUAGCUGGUCUGAGAGGACGACCAGCCACACUGGGACUGAGACACGGCCCAGACUCCUACGGGAGGCAGCAGUGGGGAAUUUUGGACAAUGGGCGAAAGCCUGAUCCAGCCAUGCCGCGUGCAGGAUGAAGGCCUUCGGGUUGUAAACUGCUUUUGUACGGAACGAGAAGGUUUGGCCUAAUAAGCUGAGCUCAUGACGGUACCGUAAGCAUGAGCACCGGCUAACUACGUGCCAGCCGCCGCAGUAA